UGAGGAAUAUUGGACAAUGGAUGGAAAUCUGAUCCAGCCAUGCCGCGUGCAGGAAGACGGCCCUAUGGGUUGUAAACUGCUUUUGUAUGGGAGCAAUAAGGACUACGUGUAGUUUGAUGAGGGUACCAUACGAAUAAGCAUCGGCUAACUCCGUGCCAGCAGCCGCGGUAAUACGGAGGAUGCGAGCGUUAUCCGGAUUUAUUGGGUUUAAAGGGUGCGUAGGCGGCGAUAUAAGUCAGUGGUGAAAUAUUUCGGCUUAACCGAGAGACUGCCAUUGAUACUGUGUUGCUAGAAUAUGGUUGCUGUGAGUGGAAUGUGUGGUGUAGCGGUGAAAUGCUUAGAUAUCACACAGAAUAUCGAUUGCGAAGGCAGCUCACAAAGCCAUUAUUGACGCUGAGGCACGAAAGUGUGGGGAUCAAACA
rnacentral:rRNA from 1 species